rnacentral:tRNA from 1 species
GCGGGUGGAGUUCAAUGGUAGAACAGAAGCUUCCCAAGCUUCUAGUGAGGGUUCGAUUCCCUUCACCCGCUCCA